UGGGGAAUUUUGGACAAUGGGCGAAAGCCUGAUCCAGCAAUGCCGCGUGUGUGAAGAAGGCCUUCGGGUUGUAAAGCACUUUUUGUCCGGAAAGAAAUCCUUGGCUCUAAUACAGUCGGGGGAUGACGGUACCGGAAGAAUAAGCACCGGCUAACUACGUGCCAGCAGCCGCGGUAAUACGUAGGGUGCAAGCGUUAAUCGGAAUUACUGGGCGUAAAGCGUGCGCAGGCGGUUUGCUAAGACCGAUGUGAAAUCCCCGGGCUCAACCUGGGAACUGCAUUGGUGACUGGCAGGCUAGAGUAUGGCAGAGGGGGGUUAGAAUUCCACGUGUAGCAGUGAAAUGCGUAGAGAUGUGGAGGAAUACCGAUGGCGAAGGCAGCCCCCUGGGCCAAUACUGACGCUCAUGCACGAAAGCGUGGGGAGCAAACAGGAUUAGAUACCCUGGUAGUCCACGCCCUAAACGAUGUCAACUAGUUGUUGGGGACUUCAUUUUCCUUAGUAACGUAGCUAACGCGUGAAGUUGACCGCCU
rnacentral:rRNA from 1 species